UUCGGUUGAUCCUGCCGGAGGUCACUGCUAUUGGAGUUCGAUUAAGCCAUGCGAGUCAAUAGUUCUUCGUGAACUAGGCGGACUGCUCAGUAACACGUGGGUAAUCUACCCUCGGGUCAGGGACAACCCCGGGAAACUGGGGAUAAUACCUGAUAGGUGAAGUGGUCUGGAAUGAUACUUCGCCUAAAGCUCCGGCGCCCGAGGAUGAGCCUGCGGCCGAUUAGGUUGUUGGCGGUGUAAAGGACCACCAAGCCUGUGAUCGGUACGGGUGGUGAGAGCCAUAGCCCGGAGAUGGGGGCUGAGACACGGCCCCAGGCCCUACGGGGCGCAGCAGGCGCGAAAACUACGCAAUGCGCGAAAGCGUGACGUGGGAACUCCAAGUGCCUUGCCUUCGGGUAAGGCUUUUGUGCAGUGUAAGUAGCUGCACGAAUAAGAGCGGGGUAAGACCGGUGCCAGCCGCCGCGGUAACACCGGCCGCUCAAGUGGUGACCGCUUUUAUUGGGCCUAAAGCGUUCGUAGCCGGUCCGGUAAGUCCUUGGGUAAAUCCUUCGGCUUAACCGAAGGAAUUCCGAGAAUACUGCUGGACUUGGAGUUGAGAGAAGUCGGAGGUACCUCCGGGGUAGGGGUGAAAUCCUAUAAUCCUGGGGGGACCACCAGUGGCGAAGGCGUCCGACUAGAGUAAGCUCGACGGUGAGGGACGAAAGCCAGGGGCGCGAACGGGAUUAGAUACCCCGGUAGUCCUGGCCGUAAACGCUGCGCGCUAGGUGUUACGUCCUCUACGAGGGGACGUAGUGCCGAAGAGAAGUUGAUAAGCGUGCCGCCUGGGAAGUAUUACCGCAAGGUAGAAACUUAAAGGAAUUGGCGGGGGGGCACCACAAGGGGUGGAGUCUGCGGUUCAAUUGGAUUCAACGCCGGA
rnacentral:rRNA from 1 species